rnacentral:lncRNA from 1 species
UCGUCACCCACCAUCAAGUCCCUACGUCUGGGAGCUGGGCCCUCCAUUAAGAUAAAGAGGGCCACCAAGUAAGUAACGAGUACUGAUUUUAACUUGAUGUCGCUGUGCAGUGUGUUUCUAACACUUGUCUUGUUGCAGAAAAUCUGCCAGUGUGGACAUCGAGGGCCCAAGCCUAAAAUCUAGAGCUGAUGGCGGUAGCCGCUCAACCCCAGACUUGCCUUGGAGCCUACAAUUCCA